GAUUUCCAGCAUCCGCAGUUUUUUGUUUUUAUGACUUCACUUCGUUCUCAGAGGUCACUCAGAUGUCGAGCCGAGCCGCCUUAGGAACAGCCCAGUUAGGAUAUCGGAGCGAUGAUGAUUGCGGCUUUAUCGGGUUCGUGGUGCUGCUGAGGGCGGGGGCCAGGCCGACAGAGGCUGGCCUGGGCCUGGUCUUGGGCCUGGGCCUGGCGCCGGUCCGAGCGGUACCUCAUCCAAUUUCUGGCUGCGGUGGUUGUGAACCCGUGACCCUGGGCUCUGUGAGGCAGAAUCUGUGAACUCCACUGCUGCUGUAACCCCAACUUUAUCUCCACAGACAUCAGUGCCUUUGCUUUCUUUGGCGGGCAGCAAACCGCUAUCAUAAUGACUCCAAUUCCUGGUCUUCCGCAGUUUAUCGUUGCUGGUUAUGUGGACGGAGUACAGAUUGUUCACUGACAGCAAUCGGAAGCAGAUGAUUCCUUGGCAACAGUGGGUGGCGGAGGGCACGGGCCCUGAGUAUUAAAUGAAACAGACACAGGAGGCUUGGGUCUGGGAAGACCUGGGGAAAGAAGAUAAAGGGAUUGCUAUGACCCGAACAACCAGACGGGUGAUGGGAUAUUCCAGGUAUCCCAGGAUCUCCAGAGGGAACAAAUUGGGGUUUGAUUGUUGGAGUUGUUGCUGCCAUUGUUCUGAUUGCUUUUAUCAUUGGUGUGGCUGUGUGGAAGAGAAGAGUUAUAGAUCGAAGCUAAUUUCAUCCUGAGUUGGUUCCACAACUUUAUUGUGCAUUUCACAAACUCAUGUGCCAGACCACCUUUGCUCCAGUCCAGAUGAAGAAAAGGAAUUCCUACAAUUAUAUUGCUUUUGUUACAAGGUCAUUAUUUAUUUGUUAAUUCUUUGUCCAGUGCUAUAGCUACUGUUUGGGGGCCAAAAAAGUCUGCUCUUUCACCCUAUUUGUUCUAAAGUCUGACCUUCAGAGCCGAGAUCCUUUCUCAAUAAUGCCUUUAUGAUCAGGGAUAAUCCUUUUUCCAUUCUGGCUGCCUUUCUGAAAUGGUGUGUACCCUGGAAUAUCACUCUGUUCUAAUGAAAGGUCAGAGACCUGAAACAUAAACUCUUUUUUUCUAACCGUAGAUGCUGUUAGACUUGCUGAGUAUUUGAAAUAGUCUUUUGAUAGUACAGAACUUGAGUAUUGCUGAAAAAAACACACAUACUGUCAAAGCUUUCUGUCUCGCAUUCUUCAGGACAAUUUGCAAGAAUACCAAAUUACAAAGGGAAAAACAAUUUAUACUGCAUUAGGAGACAGAUGAUGAUACACUUCAAAAAGAAAAACUGUGUGGAAAAGGAAUGCCCCUAGUAAAGGAUGAUGUAAGGGCAUUUUGUUUUUAUUUUUGAUUUCCAGCAUCAGCAGCAUUUCGUUUUAUUUUGCUUUUGAGUAACUGACUGUGAUUUGAAUAACUGAAGGUGAAGUUAUGGAGGUGGACAUAGGCUGCAGGGUUUGAUCAGAUAAAAUUACUUUUGUAAUUGCUGCCUUAAAGCUUGGGGCAGCUACCAGAAAAGCUCAGUAAGAAAAGACCAGUCUAGAUCUUCUCACCAGAGUACAUCGAGAGGCUGGAACCCAUGUAAAAACCCCAUGGUUUAGGUGCACCAGAGAAUUUUUGAACUGAAAUUUCAAUGUGAAUGUGACCUGUAAGUAUUGUAUAUAUGACCUGUAAUUAUAAGUUGAGACAACUCAGUGUCUUGUAAUGUACUGAAAGGAAUUAAAUUGCAUUGCACUUUA